UCCUCACAGCCCAGCACUUGUGGUGACCAGGGAGUGCUGCCUUCCUGAUGGCUGUGGCCAGACUCCUCAUUAUGACAUGCACAUGACGUCCAGCCAGUGCCCUGUGGAUCUCUGAGCCUAUUACCAUGGACAGGGCUCAGAGUGCUCUGACUGGCAAGAUCUGGGUCACAUUUACAUCUCUGAAGCAGGGAAUGGUCGGCCCCACUCACUCCAGAAGAAUAGGGUGUGGGGGGAGGAGUUAUCUCCAUUUGGAAAGAGCUGUAGGCUUUUCCCUUAAAGAUCAGCUAUUCAUGGCCCUGUUGGCUCAGAAGGUAGUGUGAAUUGUUUUUCUGUCACUUGCAACCAAAAUGAAGACAUGUUUAAAUUCCUGUCUUCCCAGAUAAAUGGUGAGCUCCAAAAGA